CUCAUGCCCACCUCCGAAGCCUCCUUCCACACCCUCCUCUGAUUCCUGAUCACAUCAGAUGGCUUCUUGGGUGUGGAGACUCUUUUGGACAUGGAUUCUUAGGCGGUCACACAAAGGAGGCUCCCCCUUGGAUGGGGCACCCACAUGAUGGGGUGCCUCCCUCUUCCAAACCCUAGGGCGGCUAGGGCUUGAGGGAGGUGCCCCCCUAGGGCUCCUUGUUGCAUGAAAGAACUAGAGAGAGAG
rnacentral:lncRNA from 1 species